UGUGUGUAACACACACACACCAAGUGUCAUCAGCAAAUAUGAUGCAGCCCGCCAGAGGAAAGACGCUCUUGCCAGAAGAGGAUAUGAGGCCACAGGCCUGUGCUGAGAAGGAGAGGUGCCAGGCAGAACAGCUCAGGCUGCGGCGAGCUCAAGGUGGAAUCUGACGUGCAGGAAGGGAACUCAGAGAGGACCUAAGGUCACCGGCCGGCCAUCUGCUGUGACAAGCACAUGAACUGGCUGUCUGCUGGACAUUCCUUCAGGCUGUGGGCUCUGAGAGCUCGCUGCUGCGCCCUCUCCCUUGGGGCUCUUUGGCGGUUCCAGCCUUGUGCAGUCCACACCCAGGCAUCAGGACAAGUCACUUUCCAGGCUCCUGGCCAGAUGUUGGUUGUACCGAAGAAUCUCCAGGCUGGGGACCCUGGAGAAGUCCCACUCACCAGCCACAGUUUUAGAUUUUGGCACUAGUUUUUUCUUUCUUUUUUUCCUUGAAUGCCUCCAGUAACAGGGAUCUCACACCUUAUCAAAAGCAUUUAAAUUCAGAACUUCAAGGACUCUUAGAAAUCUGUAAGCCCUGGCUGUCCAGAGAGCAGUGUUUGGCUCAAGUACACUGUCCAUCCUUGCCUCUCA